GCCAUUUUGUGAGGGUCAUUCAUUCGCGGUUCAAUCAGUUAUGGGGUGAUUCUUGAAUGAUGUCUGUGUCUGUGCAACCAGAGUCGGUUUAUUGUGUGUAUUUAAAUUGUGAUGAAAGUCAGCAUUUGAUCGUCGUUAUUCGCGGACGCACAAAACAACUUUGAACACACACAUCACAAGAAACGUGUCGUCCUAACAUUAAAACUGGUUGUGGACGCCAUGCUUUCCUGAGAGGGUCCUUCGCGGCAGUUUGGUCGGUUAACGAUCUGAUCUCAUCAUCAUCCAGUCUGUCUGGAAUGACAUGAAGAAACAGAACGAGACAGAAUAAAUCCAGAAGAUCUGUGGCAACGUCUUUAAGAUGCUUCAAGAGACCUACCUGCGGAGCUACAGUUUAUCACCUAAGCCUCCUUGGAGGCAAAACACCUGGAGAUGCCAUCCGGAUGGUGUUGCGAACAGUUGGAACAAACAGUGUUUGGUGUCAAUACAGCAUUAAAGGAAGGAAUGGGGGAAGAGCUGGACAUUGCGGCAUGAUCAUUCAGGCUUGCCAAAAGAUGCAUCCAAAAGUGCCAGUUAAGGUGUUAGAAGAGUUCAUCUUGAAGUAUGCUCCCCAUCGUGAGUCAAGGAUGGAGUGUGAAGAGACAGGCCAUGGACCACAGUUCCCGCAGUGAUAGUUUUUCAGCACCCACACACAAUUCAGAAGUUCUCACUGAUUAAAUGUUAAUAUGAUAGUUUACGUUUACCUGUGAAGUUGUCCUUGUCAUGAAUAUUAAACUAAAUGUAAAACUUUUUUUACAUGAUAGGCAAUUUUCACUAAUCUGUUUAAUCUGUUAAUGAGGUUUUUUUUUUGAAAGUGUGCAUCUUUAUUAAUUAAAAUACCUGAAAUGCCUGCAAUGUGCUUGUAUCUGGAAUGUUGUAAUAAUGAUGUUGAAAGAUGAUGUUGCAACACUGCUAAUCUUAAAAUAACAUUUUAUUAAACUAUACUUUGUAAAGUUCCAAAUAAUUGUUUUUAGAACUUUGUAUUUUUAGUAAAAUGUGGGUAAUGUUGUAGGAAUGUUAUGCUCACAAUAAAAUAACGUUCUAGUAACGUUAAGCAAACUG